UCUUGACUAGUAUAUCGGUUUAGUACACGCGCUUGUCAUGUGUAAUCAUUUCGCGCGAAAGCUGGGUUCGACUCCCAGGUCGAGAG